UACGAAGGGGGCUAGCGUUGCUCGGAAUCACUGGGCGUAAAGCGCGCGCAGGCGGUUUUCCAAGUCAGUGGUGAAAGCCCGGAGCUCAACUCCGGAACUGCCAUUGAAACUGGCGAACUUGAGUACGAGAGAGGUGAGUGGAAUUCCCAGUGUAGAGGUGAAAUUCGUAGAUAUUGGGAAGAACACCGGUGGCGAAGGCGGCUCACUGGCUCGUAACUGACGCUCAGGCGCGACAGCGUGGGGAUCAAACAGG
rnacentral:rRNA from 1 species